UUUUUAAAAAGAAUUAAAUUAUUAUUUAACGGAAACAAUAAAUUUUGAAAUACAUAUAAUAAUUCACGCGUAUUUCAUAUAUAUUUUUAAUUUUUAUGAUUGUAAUACCAAUUUUUUCUGCCCGGGCCUAUACAAAAUAAAAUACAGCAGGCCCAUCUACAGACCAAACCCAUAUUCAAAAAAAACCUAGCCUAAGAAGCAGCAAGCUUCAGCCGCAUGCCCAACAGCAGCCUCCCUAACUGCCGUCGCAUCCUCCGCGCACGUACACCUCUUCCACGGCCUCCAUACCUACGAGAAAAGCGGAUCCAAACAGCAAUAGACGCAACAAAUAAUGAAAUAGGAUUUUUUACUUUUAUUUUGCUGUAAUUUUGGCUAUAAAAAGCCAUCAAAAAUCUGUAAAAUGGGGGGAACCAAUAUUGUAUUGAGAGAAUACUGAAAUACAAAAAUAGGGAGAAAAUAUUGAGAUUACAAAGAGAUUUUUGAAGGUGAAUCGUGUUUAUUUUUUUCCAUUUUUUCCAUUCUUUUUUAUUUUAUUUUUUAUUUAUUUUUAAUUUAAAAUAUAAAGAAGGGAGGAAGGACUUACCUCUCUCGCCGGAUUCGUAUAUAUAUUUAUAUAUAUAAAAAAUAUUUCUCUAAUACAUAUACAUAUUUUUAUAUAUAUAUUGUUAUUAUUUCUUUUUUAGCUUUUAUAUACAUAUAUACGUAUAUACAUUUAUAUUUCUAUUAUAUUUAUAUAUACAUUCUUUUAAAAUUAUUAUAAACAUUUUAUUGUUCUACACAUUCCAUUAUUUUCAUAUUGCACCUAUAUAUAUAAGUAUCUAAAUAAGUACAUAUUUUCAUGAUUGACCUACUUAUAUACUCAUACAUUUUUAUUUUGUAAAUAUAUGCACGUAUACAUAUGUUUUUUUAUUUUUAUCUUCACAAUUUUCACAUACAUAUGUACAUGCAUAUUAUUAUAAGUUUUGUUUUGUAUAUUUCAUUCCCUUUUAUGUACACUUAUAUUUUUUAAAAUGUAUGCAUAUACAUGUUUUCAAAAUUCAUUUAUGCUUUAUACUUAUAUUUUGAAAACACAUAUAUACAUAUAAUUUAAAUUAAAAUAUUUGUAUCAUAUUGUACAUUACCUUUUUAACGUACCCUUUUUGAAAAUAUGUUUUGGUUUUAACCAUACAUCAAAGUUAUUUUCUCGCUCCAAAGGUUUUUUUUUUUGAAUAAAAGCAAUGUUCGAAGCUUGAGAUUUUCGAGGGAAAUUGAGCCCUAACGUAUUGGGUUCAGAUUUUCUUUGUUAAUCUUAAAUAACCGAGGAUAUUCUUUAUUCAAAAUGCAUGAGCAUAAAAAUCAUUUUUGGGAACUUAACUUGUCGUGCCCUAACGUAUUGGGUGUGGCAUGUUACUUUCUCGAAAUAAAUAUUUUCGCAUGAAAUAAAAGUGAUAUUCAAAGUUCGGGGAUUAUGAGGAAUUGUACCCUAACGUAUUGGGACUCGAUUUCUUUACAUGACUUGAACAAUUUGUUAUCCUUUUACAAAUUUCAUCAUUCAAGCUUAUUUUAAAAUCUUUUUAACUUUCGACACUAAGACAUUAAAUGAUCAAUUUGGUACCGAUUUUGGGCGUCACGAGGGUGCUAACCCUUCCUCGUGCGUAACCGACUCCCGAACUCGUUUUCUCAAAAUUCGUAGACCAAAAUAAUUUUUAAGGUGACCCGAUCACACCUUAAUAAAAGAUCGGUGGCGACUCCAGUUUUGUUUUAAAAGUCGACAACUAAAAUUUUUGUUUUUCAAAAAACGGUUUCGACAGCUUGGCGACUCCACUGGGGACACUAAAGAGUCGAGCCAUAAAUUGGUUAUUUGUUCGUCUUGUGAUCGAAAAUCAAAUUUGGGUUUUAAAAUCAUGAUUUCCCUUCAUUUUUUUUACCAUGGAAUGUUGGUAACCUUGCAUUUGCAUUUUGCAUUUUACCCUUAAGUGGGAGCGAGAAACUAGUCCUUCGUGAGGUUUUCACCUCCGUGCAGGGUAAUGGACCGCUUCCGGGAUACAUCCGUACCUAUGUCUUCGUGAGAUUUUCAUCUCCGUGUAGCCAUAGGGAAAUGUGUCCCCCUGAACCGAACUCGAUCCACAUGAGCCUAUAAUGGGUGAGGAUCGAGGAAUCUGCUGGUCGGGUACCUUUACUCUAGAAACUAAACCUCAUAUAGUGAGCUUUAGGAACUUACCUUAGGUAGAAGUACUCUAAACCUUAGGAGAUACCUGACUAGGAGUUUUUAUUAUUUCUUGCUUAUAUUGGAUUUAAUGUUUAUACCCGAUACUAACUCGUUGCAUUUUGUUUUGAUUGCAUGACAUCAUGAUCGCAUUGCAUUUUCAUCAUAAAAGAGGUGUUGAUUCACGUUCGGUUGUUAAUAGAGAGCUUGUCAUAAGGAAAUGGGUUUCUUGAUAAAAUAGAAAAUAAUACGGUUGCCCGAAUAUGUUCCGAGAAAACACAACAAGAGAAAGAUGAUAGUUUAAUGGAGGACUACAUAACCAUUGCUUCGUUGCCCGAAGACUCAAGCUGAUGAAGGCUAUUCGAGAGCCGCUGAACUUUUUGUUUAAGGGAAGCCAACGAGCAUCACGACGAUAAAGGAGCAACGAAGAACAGUCCGGAUCAAGUAAAAUGGAGAUAGAAGAGACAUCUAUUUUGAAGAAUUCACAAGAUUUAUCUUAGCAUCCAGAUGAAGAAGGAGAAGAUGUCCUCGCUUGGAGCAUGAGGGCAAAGCCGUAUAUAUAUAUCUGCUUUAUGUAAAGAAAUUUAUCUUCUAGAAAAGUUUUCUAAAUAGAAUUGAAUCAGAAUCAACGUCUCUUUUUGCAUUCAUCAAAUGCAUUUGCAUUACAUAGCAUCAUAUGCAUUAAAAUCCAUUGAAAGAGCCUAAUUAAUUAAAAUUAUUGCUUAGUUAACCUGGAAACCAACCAACCAACCCGACACCGAUACGGCACUCGAGCAAAGACAAAAGAUAUGGAUCAGAGAUUAGAGAAGCUCGAACAGUACCAGAAGGAGAUGCAAGACCGGCUUCAGCUACAAAUGCAGGAACGGUUAGACAAGAUGAAACAGGAGAUGUCUGAGAAGAUGCGGAAUCUCAAGAGGACAUAGUGGCAAAGUUAACCCGAUUGAUAACUAAAGGAGGUGAUAAAGGAAAGGGCCCCAUGGCAGAUGUCGAUGAGGGAAAUGAUGAUGAACUUUUCUAUCCUCCAGGUUUCAUCCCUCCACAUGAGCGAACUCAAGCUGAAUACCCGUGCAAAUCUACUGUCACCAUCAUGCCUCAGCAAUUUCGAGCUGGUAUUUCGAACCACCAAACUGGGCCGAGCUUUAAUCCUGAAAAUAAUCCUAUUAACUCUGCCAUUCCUGACUUUGAUGAAGUGGUUGAGAAGGAAAGAAUGAAGGAAAAGUUACCGAAACAGUUGGAAGAAAGAUACAGGUGGCUCGAAGAGAAGUUCAAGGCGAUGGAAGUCACUGAAAGUUAUCGAGGCAUUGACGCAAAAAAGCUGAGUUUAGUGCCAAAUUUAGUACUCUCUCAUAAAUUUAAGAUGCCUGAAUUUGAAAAGUACAAUGGGACAAGCUGCCCAGCAGCUCACAUCACCAUGUUCUACAGGCAAAUGGCUGGAUACGUUAACAAUGACCAACUAUUGAUACACUGUUUCUAAGAUAGCCUAGCAGGGGCAGCAUCUAAGUGGUACAAUCAGUUGAGUCGUGCCACGGUUGGUUCAUGGAGGGACUUGGCGCAAGCAUUCAUGAAACAAUAUAGUCAUGUGACAGAUAUGGCUCCUGAUAGAAUCACCCUUCAGAAUAUGGAGAAGAAGCCGAGCGAAAGCUUUAGGCAGUAUGCACAGAGAUGGAGGAAGGUCGCAGUCCAAGUUCAGCCACCACUCUUGGAAACGGAAAUGGCCAUGCUAUUCAUUAACACCCUAAAAGCACCUUUCAUCACACAUAUGUUAGGAAGUGCCACAAAAAGCUUUCCUGACAUAGUCAUGAAUGGUGAAAUGAUUGAGAGCGCUAUAAGGAGCGGGAAAAUUGAGACAGAUGAGAGUAAUAAGAGGUCAAUCUCAAGAAGAAGAGAAAAUGAGGUGGACAACACGGGUUACUCUAAAUCAGUUACUGUGAGUCAAACAAGAAAGGUGGUUGGUAAUCAACAGAAUUCAUCGAGGCAAGAUUCCGGCAUAAAGACUGAGAGGCCCCAAUUCACGCCAAUUCUGGUACCGUAUAAGGAACUGUAUCAAAAUUUGUUUGAUGCACAUGUUGUUUCCCCUUUUCAUGUGAAGCCUCUACAACCGCCGUAUCCUGAAUGGUAUGAUACGAACACACAAUGUGAAUAUCAUGCGGGAAUUACGGGACACUCGAUUGAGAAUUGCACUGCCUUCAAGAAGCAAGUUGAAAGACUUAUCAACAUGGGUAUUGUCAAGUUUGGUGACUCGUCCAGCGCAGGAAAUCCGCUACCCAAUCAUGAUUGAGGAUGGAGGGACUGCAAUAUAUGAAGAAGUGGUGAGAAAUUUGCACAUCGAUGCGGACACAAUUAAAAGGGUCCUUGUUAGAUAUUCGCCUUAGAGGUGUUCUAAAUAAUGGGACUGCAAAGGAAACCCCUAAAAUAUUUAGAGUCUGUUAGAGUAAUGUUAAGAACACACUUGUUGCUUUCAGCCUAGAAGCAAUAGGAGUUUCUUUGUGAAAUAGGCUCACGUCUGAACAUUAUUAUUUUAAUGAAAUACAUUAUUGCAAUCAUCUUUGAGCAAAUGUUCUUUCAUUCUUUACGAUUUCUUUAUUUUUUUUCCUUUCAGAUUUUUUCUGCCAAAUUAUUCGUUCAUUCGUUCAUAUUAUUCAUACAUUCUUUUGUAUAUUCUUUGGUACCCACUAUGGGUCCCCAAAUAUCAAUGACAUGAGUGACGCUGCUACAGACUCAAAUCGCCUUUUGAGUGAGACAUGUGUUUAGAGGGAUCUCAUGGCUUUGAAGAUGUCAUAAAUUGCAGCUUAUCUCCUAACUUGUUGAGGAUGGUAAAGCAAUAAGAGAAACAAAUGAGACAGCAGAGACUACGACCUUGAGAAAACAUGCAUGACCGAAGAAUAAAGCAAGACGUUGCUGAGUUACUUCAAGCAUCCAAAGAUGCCUUCGCAGGGUCAUACCAGAAUGUGCCCGGUUUAAGCGAGGUCAUUACAAUCUGAACAACAGCACGAUAUCAAAAGUUUGCAACAUGUUCAAGGUGAAUAUCAUGAAUGGUGCAAUGAAAACUCUACCGGGGCAAUGCCACUCUUUCCAGUUUAUCACGUUUUUUCAUUGAAGUUGAAAUUCUUUCUAUUCGAGUUUUGGCUGAGCUAAGGUAGGAUGAAGAUCCAAUCCCGAUACGAUUAGUUGAACUUAGUUGAAGAAAAAGGCUAGAAACUAUUCAUCAGGCUCAGAUGCACCAAGAAAUGAAUGAUGCGAGCCUAUAGCAAAAGGUUUGUCCCAGAGAAUUCCACGAUGGCAACCUAAUGCUAAAGAAGAUCCUCACUCUACAAAAAAAUAUAACGGAUGCCAAAUUGGGAAAAAAAUUAUGUUAUAGAGAAGGUCUUUUCCAAAGGAGUUUUGAUUUUGGGCGAGAUGGAUGAUAAACCUGCAAAGUCCUGUAAACUCAGGUUCAGUCAGGAAAUACUCCGCUUAAAGAAUGAGAUGACCAAGGUGAAAACCCACAAAGGGUGCUUUGAGUCCAAAAAAAUAAAAAUAAAAAAAGAGAAAAAGAGGAAAAUGGAGAGGCUAAGGUGAAAACCCGUAAAGGGCGCCUUAGACCAAAGGGGAUUUGAGUUGAAAACCCGAAAAGGGCGGCUCAAAUAUUGAUUAGAAUGGGGCACGAGAUUAUCGGAGUAGCUCAAAUACUGAUCAGAAUGGGGCAUGCAAUGGUCUUGCUAUACCUAAAUCAACAAGAAAUGGUAGGCGACAUCUUGGGGCAUCGACAAAGUAUUCCUAAACGCAUGUCAAACUCAGAAUGAUCUUCAGAAAGUCUGUACAGCAAAGUUCAAGCUGCGAUAUUUGGGGCACCUAAUUCUUAUAUUAUUUUUUGUUAUUCUUGGAACACUUCAUUCAUUUCCAAAAUACGCAUUCCUAAAUCAAUUUCUUUAUUAUCCAUCUUUAUUAUAUUUGACAAUUUAUUCAUUUCGAGCUUUGCUCAGAACCAACUCUAUUCUUAUCCAUGGUCUUUUUGCAAGCAUGUUUCAUUAGAAUAAUGAUUCAUAGACUAAUAAAACUUUCACAAGGGAAGUUUUGCAUAUUACUCUAGAAGUUUCUAAAUAAUAUAGGAUCCUCAAACAGGACUAUUGUUUAGAAUGCACUAGGUUGGAAAUCUGAUAAGGAAAAGUCUAAAUUAAGACUAUCCCUUUGAAUUUUCUUGUCUAAAGUAUUAAUUGAACAAAAUGGCAAGAUGUCGUGUUGGUGACAAAGCUUCAAUGAACAAGCAAGCAAUGAUCACCGGAUAAUAAUAAGAAGUUGUUCUUGGAGAAGAUUACUUUAUUUGUGCAUGAGCAUUUGGUACAACACCCUGGGAAUGGUGUAAGAGACCAAAGAGUUUCACAUCCUUGAAUUGUGAUAGUGGAGGAUUAAGAAAAGGCCAAAACUUUUUACUCUCGGGUUACAACGGGAGGAAGAUGGUACAAAUUUUCGCAUACCAUUGAAUCAAACUUGGAGGUUUACAGUGGGGGCAACCUGGUCAAGUGUUUCUUUGGAGACGCCAGCCGAGCAAAAGGUGCUAUAGCACAUUAGCGAUGAAACUUUAAAUAAACUUUGAGUAAUGAUAACCUAAGUGAAAAUGAGGGAUCAUUCUCGAAAAAAUGACAUUCUGCAUUCAUUCAAAUGUCAUUCAUACACGCCUAGUUAGGAGCAUUUGAUUCAUUUGAUCAUGACAUCCUAAUCAUUAGGCAUAGUUAGGUUCAUAAAGUGAAUUAUACAGGUCAUGUUCCCUAGAGAACAGAUCGGUGAAAUCAUAAAGCCUUAUCUCCCUGAACAAUAGUGGAGCAGGUUGAAAAGCAGCAGGUCUUGUCUUCCUAUAUUGGUAGCGAAGUGGAUCGAAUAUACAGAUCUCGCCUUCCCAUACUGGUGGCGAAGCAGAUCGAAGGAAAAAACAGAUCUUGUCUUAUGGCGUGAAGUAGAUCAAAGAUAACAGAUCUCGCCUUCCCAUACUGGUGGCGAAGCAGAUCGAAGGAAUACAGAUCUUGUCUUCAUGUACUAGCGUGAAGUAGAUCGAAUAUACAGAGCUCGCCUUCUCAUACUGGUGGCGAAGCAGAUCGAAAGAAAGUAGAUAUUGUCUUCAUGUAUCAGCGUGAAGUAGAUCAAAGUCAACAGAUCUUGUCUCCCCAUACUGGUGGUGGAGUAGAUCAAAGAAAGUAGAUCUUGUCUUCAUGUAUCGGCAUGAAGUAGAUCAAAGUCAACAGAUCUUGUCUCCCUAUACUGGUGGUGGAGUAGAUCAAAGAAAGCAGAUCUUGUCUUCAUGUACUGCAUGAAGUAGAUCAAAGAAACAAAUAUUGUCUCCCCAUACUGGUGGUGGAGUAGGUCGAAGAAAACAGAUCGUGUCUUCAUGUACUGGCGUGAAGUAGAUCAAAGAUAGUAGGUCCCGUCUUCCUAUAUUGGUAGCGAAGUGGAUCGAAUAUACAUCUUCCCAUACCGGUGGCAAAGUAGAUUGAAGAUUACAGAUUUUGCCUCCCUAAGCAGUAGUGGAGCAGAUCGAAGAUGGCGGAUUUUACCUCCCUGAAGUUGCAGUGGAGUAUAUUGAAGCCAGUAAUUCUACCUCCCCGGUCGGCAGUGGAAUCGAUUGAAAAAGCAGAUCUUGUCUUCAUGUAUUGGCGUGAAGUAGAUCGAAGAAAGUAGAUCGAAGAAAGCAUAUCUUGUCUUCCCAUACUGGUGGUGAAGUAGAUCGAAGAUACAAGUCUUAUCUCCCUGAAGUUGCAGUGGAGCAGACUGAAGUAACCAAUCCUAUCUCAUUGAAGUUGCAAUGGAGUUGAUUAAAACCGCAGAUCUCAUCUCUCUGAAGUUGCAGUGGAGCAGAUCGCGCCAGAUUUAUCUUUAAGUUGCAGCAGACCAAAUUGAAACUAUAAGUCUUGUCUCCCUGAAGUUGUAGUGGAGCAGAUUAAAGAUAGCAAAUUUAGUUCUUUUGAGAAGCUACAAUGUAUGAAUCCUAUCUCUUCGACAUUACAGUAGGAGUGGAUUGAAGCACCAGUUCCUAUACCUCUGGAGAUGUAGUGGGAAGGAACGAGGCUACUAACGCUAAGGUCCAUAUGGCCGGGCAAAAAUUGGUCUUUUUAAGUCAUUGCUCUAUUCUCGUCACACGAUAACGAGCAAAGAGGGGCAGCUGUAAUACCAAUUUUUUCUGCCCGGGCCUAUACAAAAUAAAAUACAGCAGGCCCAUCUACAGACCAAACCCAUAUUCAAAAAAAACCUAGCCUAAGAAGCAGCAAGCUUCAGCCGCAUGCCCAACAGCAGCCUCCCUAACUGCCGUCGCAUCCUCCGCGCACGUACACCUCUUCCACGGCCUCCAUACCUACGAGAAAAGCGGAUCCAAACAGCAAUAGACGCAACAAAUAAUGAAAUAGGAUUUUUUACUUUUAUUUUGCUGUAAUUUUGGCUAUAAAAAGCCAUCAAAAAUCUGUAAAAUGGGGGGAACCAAUAUUGUAUUGAGAGAAUACUGAAAUACAAAAAUAGGGAGAAAAUAUUGAGAUUACAAAGAGAUUUUUGAAGGUGAAUCGUGUUUAUUUUUUUCCAUUUUUUCCAUUCUUUUUUAUUUUAUUUUUUAUUUAUUUUUAAUUUAAAAUAUAAAGAAGGGAGGAAGGACUUACCUCUCUCGCCGGAUUCGUCGAGUCGGCGCUAUCUCCGUCACAGUCGGAGCCUUGGCGCGAGGCUGAGCGACGGCGUUCGAGGGUUGAGGAAACCCUAAAAGGGUCUGGUUUCUCCUCUGGAAAGGGAAACCCAAAAGAACAAAUAAAUG
rnacentral:lncRNA from 1 species